rnacentral:rRNA from 3 species
AGACCCGAAACCCGGUGAUCUAGCCAUGGGCAGGUUGAAGGUUGGGUAACACUAACUGGAGGACCGAACCGACUAAUGUUGAAAAAUUAGCGGAUGACCUGUGGCUGGGGGUGAAAGGCCAAUCAAACCGGGAGAUAGCUGGUUCUCCCCGAAAGCUAUUUAGGUAGCGCCUCGUGAAUUCAUCUCCGGGGGUAGAGCACUGUUUCGGCUAGGGGGCCAUCCCGGCUUACCAACCCGAUGCAAACUGCGAAUACCGGAGAAUGUUAUCACGGGAGACACACGGCGGGUGCUAACGUCCGUCGUGAAGAGGGAAACAACCCAGACCGCCAGCUAAGGUCCCAAAGUCAUGGUUAAGUGGGAAACGAUGUGGGAAGGCCCAGACAGCCAGGAUGUUGGCUUAGAAGCAGCCAUCAUUUAAAGAAAGCGUAAUAGCUCACUGGUCGAGUCGGCCUGCGCGGAAGAUGUAACGGGGCUAAACCAUGCACCGAAGCUGCGGCAGCGACGCUGAUGCGUUGUUGGGUAGGGGAGCGUUCUGUAAGCCUGCGAAGGUGGCCUGUGAGGGUUGCUGGAGGUAUCAGAAGUGCGAAUGCUGACAUAAGUAACGAUAAAGCGGGUGAAAAGCCCGCUCGCCGGAAGACCAAGGGUUCCUGUCCAACGUUAAUCGGGGCAGGGUGAGUCGACCCCUAAGGCGAGGCCGAAAGGCGUAGUCGAUGGGAAACGGGUUAAUAUUCCCGUACUUGGUGUUACUGCGAAGGGGGGACGGAGAAGGCUAUGUUGGCCGGGCGACGGUUGUCCCGGUUUAAGCGUGUAGGUGUGUGUUCCAGGUAAAUCCGGUUCACUUUAACACUGAGGCGUGACGACGAGGCACUACGGUGCUGAAGCAACAAAUGCCCUGCUUCCAGGAAAAGCCUCUAAGCAUCAGGUAACAUCAAAUCGUACCCCAAACCGACACAGGUGGUCAGGUAGAGAAUACCAAGGCGCUUGAGAGAACUCGGGUGAAGGAACUAGGCAAAAUGGUGCCGUAACUUCGGGAGAAGGCACGCUGACACGUAGGUGAAGUGAUUUACUCAUGGAGCUGAAGUCAGUCGAAGAUACCAGCUGGCUGCAACUGUUUAUUAAAAACACAGCACUGUGCAAACACGAAAGUGGACGUAUACGGUGUGACGCCUGCCCGGUGCCGGAAGGUUAAUUGAUGGGGUCAGCGCAAGCGAAGCUCCUGAUCGAAGCCCCGGUAAACGGCGGCCGUAACUAUAACGGUCCUAAGGUAGCGAAAUUCCUUGUCGGGUAAGUUCCGACCUGCACGAAUGGCGUAAUGAUGGCCAGGCUGUCUCCACCCGAGACUCAGUGAAAUUGAACUCGCUGUGAAGAUGCAGUGUACCCGCGGCAAGACGGAAAGACCCCGUGAACCUUUACUAUAGCUUGACACUGAACAUUGAGCCUUGAUGUGUAGGAUAGGUGGGAGGCUUUGAAGUGUGGACGCCAGUCUGCAUGGAGCCGACCUUGAAAUACCACCCUUUAAUGUUUGAUGUUCUAACGUGGACCCGUGAUCCGGGUUGCGGACAGUGUCUGGUGGGUAGUUUGACUGGGGCGGUCUCCUCCUAAAGAGUAACGGAGGAGCACGAAGGUUGGCUAAUCCUGGUCGGACAUCAGGAGGUUAGUGCAAUGGCAUAAGCCAGCUUGACUGCGAGCGUGACGGCGCGAGCAGGUGCGAAAGCAGGUCAUAGUGAUCCGGUGGUUCUGAAUGGAAGGGCCAUCGCUCAACGGAUAAAAGGUACUCCGGGGAUAACAGGCUGAUACCGCCCAAGAGUUCAUAUCGACGGCGGUGUUUGGCACCUCGAUGUCGGCUCAUCACAUCCUGGGGCUGAAGUAGGUCCCAAGGGUAUGGCUGUUCGCCAUUUAAAGUGGUACGCGAGCUGGGUUUAGAACGUCGUGAGACAGUUCGGUCCCUAUCUGCCGUGGGCGCUGGAGAACUGAGGGGGGCUGCUCCUAGUACGAGAGGACCGGAGUGGACGCAUCACUGGUGUUCGGGUUGUCAUGCCAAUGGCACUGCCCGGUAGCUAAAUGCGGAAGAGAUAAGUGCUGAAAGCAUCUAAGCACGAAACUUGCCCCGA